AAAGUCGUAACAAGGUUUCCGUAGGUGAACCUGCGGAAGGAUCAUUACCGAGUAAGGGUGCCCUUCAAGGCGCCCGACCUCCAACCCUUUGUAUACUUGACCAGAUGUUGCUUCGGCAGGCCCGCCUCUCUAGCUUUACGGUCAAAGAGGCCGCCGGGGGUCCUUACCGGCCCCGGGUCCGUGCCUGUCGAUGGCCCUUCUCAAAACUCUUGCUAUAAACGUGUCGUCUGAGUUUUAAACAAAAAAUAAAACAAAACUUUCAACAACGGAUCUCUUGGUUCUG
rnacentral:misc_RNA from 1 species